CUCGCCGCAAGCCCUAGAAGAAUUAGAAGUUCCUCCUUCGGCUGUGAAUCAAGGAAACGAAGCAGGCACGAACAGAUUUACAUGCCUAGCAAGCACGAACAGAUUUACAUGUCUAGCAAACACGAACAGAUUUAGUUGCCGUGAACCACAAAGAAAAAUAAAAGAAAAUAACUAAAUGGAAUAGAUGAAGCCCUUGUAAUUAGCAUUGCAAUUACAUUCCAGUUACUUGAGUAUGAGUUUCGGAUAGUGAGGUUAAGCGAUAAAAGAGGAUUGUUAGUUGGAAUGUUAUGGGGUUGAUGAGUUUUAUUAAACUGCGAUUUGAGGAUUCGAGUUGUAUUGUUCAUGUUGGAAAGUCACGAUUGUUUAAGUAGUUGUGCUCUAAGAAAGGCUAAGUUGAAGUAUUGUAGGGAUUUAGAUUUCCUGUUUGAUUUUGGAACAUGUUGUACAAGAUGGUUCCUAGGGCUUUAGUAUCCUUCUUUGCUUUCGGAGGUGCAAGUAAAUGGUCACAAACUCAGAAUCCUUGAAGAAAAUAUGUCUACUAGUUGACCUUAUUAGAAUGUGUAAAUCCUUAUCAGUUUCUGUAAAGAACUCACUUAGUUUAAGAUUUGUUAUGUUUCA